rnacentral:rRNA from 1 species
UACGUAGGGUGCGAGCGUUGUCCGGAAUUACUGGGUGUAAAGGGAGCGUAGGCGGGAAGAUAAGUUGGACGUCAAAUCUACAGGCUCAACCUGUAGCCGCGUUCAAAACUGUCUUUCUUGAGUGAAGUAGAGGCAGGCGGAAUUCCUAGUGUAGCGGUGAAAUGCGUAGAUAUUAGGAGGAACACCAGUGGCGAAGGCGGCCUGCUGGGCUUUUACUGACGCUGAGGCUCGAAAGCGUGGGGAGCAAACA